rnacentral:rRNA from 1 species
AUACGGAGGGUGCAAGCGUUAUCCGGAAUCUUUGGGUUUAAAGGGUCCGCAGGCGGAUUAAUAAGUCAGUGGUGAAAUCCUCUCGCUCAACGAGAGAACUGCCAUUGAAACUGUUAGUCUUGAAUUCGGUCGAAGUAGUCGGAAUGUGUCAUGUAGCAGUGAAAUGCAUAGAUAAGACACAGAACACCGAUAGCGAAGGCAGCUUACUAGACCUGGAUUGACGCUCAUGGACGAAAGCGUGGGGAGCGAACAGGAUUAGAAACCCUAGUAGUCC